GAUGAACGCUGGCGGCGUGCCUAAUACAUGCAAGUCGAGCGAACAGAUAAGGAGCUUGCUCCUUUGACGUUAGCGGCGGACGGGUGAGUAACACGUGGGUAACCUACCUAUAAGACUGGGAUAACUUCGGGAAACCGGAGCUAAUACCGGAUAAUAUUUCGAACCGCAUGGUUCGAUAGUGAAAGAUGGUUUUGCUAUCACUUAUAGAUGGACCCGCGCCGUAUUAGCUAGUUGGUAAGGUAACGGCUUACCAAGGCGACGAUACGUAGCCGACCUGAGAGGGUGAUCGGCCUCACUGGAACUGAGACACGGUCCAGACUCCUACGGGAGGCAGCAGUAGGGAAUCUUCCGCAAUGGGCGAAAGCCUGACGGAGCAACGCCGCGUGAGUGAUGAAGGUCUUCGGAUCGUAAAACUCUGUUAUUAGGGAAGAACAUACGUGUAAGUAACUGUGCACGUCUUGACGGUACCUAAUCAGAAAGCCACGGCUAACUACGUG
rnacentral:rRNA from 1 species